rnacentral:rRNA from 1 species
CCUACGGGUGGCAGCAGUGGGGGAUAUUGCACAAUGGGGGGAACCCUGAUGCAGCGACGCCGCGUGGGUGAAGCAGCGCUUCGGCGCGUAAAGCCCUGUUAGCAGGGAAGAAAAUGACGGUACCUGAAGAAGAAGCCCCGGCUAACUACGUGCCAGCAGCAGCGGUAAUACGGAGGGGGCAAGCGUUAUCCGGAUUCACUGGGGGUAAAGGGGGAGCCGGCGGCAAUGCAAGCCAGGAGUGAAAACCACGGGCUGAACGAUGGAACUGCCUUUGAAAGUGGCAAACUGGAGUGUGUGAGAGGAUAGUGGAAUUCCUGGUGUAGGGGUAAAAUCCGUAGAUAUCUGGAGGAACAUCAGUGGCGAAGGCGACUAUCUGGCACAUAACUGACGCUGAGGAGCGAAAGCGUGGGUAGCAAACAGGAUUAGAUACCCUUGUAGUC